rnacentral:tRNA from 1 species
GCUCCCAUAGCUCAGGGGUUAGAGCACCACGCUUAUAACGUGGGGGUCGGCGGUUCAAAUCCACCUGGGAGCA